rnacentral:rRNA from 1 species
AGAGUUUGAUCCUGGCUCAGAAUCAACGCUGGCGGCGCGCUUAACACAUGCAAGUCGAACGGGAAAGUGGAGCAAUCCAUGAGUACAGUGGCGUACGGGUGAGUAACACGUGGGUGAUCUACCUUUUAGUGGGGAAUAACCCUGGGAAACCGGGGCUAAUACCGCAUAAGCCCGAGAGGGGAAAGUCGCAAGACGCUGAAAGAGGAGCCCGCGGCCGAUUAGCUAGUUGGUAGGGUAAGAGCCUACCAAGGCAGAGAUCGGUAGCCGGCCUGAGAGGGCACACGGCCACACUGGCACUGAAACACGGGCCAGACUCCUACGGGAGGCAGCAGUGGGGAAUCUUGCACAAUGGGGGCAACCCUGAUGCAGCGACGCCGCGUGAGCGAUGAAGCCCUUCGGGGUGUAAAGCUCUUUCGGCAGGGAAGAUGAUGACGGUACCUGCAGAAGCAGCUGCGGCUAACUACGUGCCAGCAGCCGCGGUAAUACGUAGGCAGCGAGCGUUGUUCGGAGUUACUGGGCGUAAAGGGUGUGUAGGCGGUUCUUUAAGUUUGGUGUGAAAUCUCCCGGCUCAACCGGGAGGGUGCGCCGAAUACUGAGGGACUAGAGUGCGGGAGAGGAAAGUGGAAUUCCUGGUGUAGCGGUGAAAUGCGUAGAUAUCAGGAGGAACACCGGUGGUGUAGACGGCUUUCUGGACCGUAACUGACGCUGAGACACGAAAGCGUGGGUAGCAAACAGGAUUAGAUACCCUAGUAGUCC